rnacentral:misc_RNA from 1 species
GAUGAAGAACGUAGGCGAAAUGCGAUAAGUAGUGUGAAUUGCAGAAUUCAGUGAAUCAUCGAAUCUUUGAACGCACAUUGCGCCUUCUAGUAUUCUGGGAGGCAUGCCUGUUUGAGCGUCAUUAAACCUCUCUCAAGUAUGAUUACUUGGAUGUGAAGGAAGAGUACCUUAAACUUAAGGAGUGUUCUCCUUUGAAAUUGAUUAGCAGAUGGUAAUGUUAUUAAAUCCCUGAUGUUGUAAGAAAUAACAGUGGUUUUGUAGACUAUUAUCUAGCUUUAAAUUAUAAUUUUUAUUAUGGUUGACCUCAAAUCAGGUAAGGAUACCCGCUGAACUUAAGCAUAUCAAUAAGCGGAGGA